AAAGAUUAAGCCAUGCAUGUCUCUGCACACGCCCUUGAAUGGUGAAGCCGCGAAAAGCUCAUUACAACAGCCAUAGUCUAUUGGAUCUUUACGUUCCUACAAGGACACCUGCGGUAAUUCUGGAGCUAAUACUUGCGAAAAACGACGACCUCACGGAAGUCGUGCAUUUGUUAGACUAAACCAUUCGGUCCUUCGGGACCGCAAUUUGGUGAACUCUGAAUAACUUAGCUGAUCGCACAGUCUCGUACUGGCGACGAAUCUUUCGAGUGUCUGCCUUAUCAACUUUCGAUGGUAGUUUACACGACUACCAUGGUUGUAACGGGUAACGGAGAAUAAGGGUUCGACUCCGGAGAGGGAGCCUGAGAAACGGCUACCACAUCCAAGGAAGGCAGCAGGCGCGCAAAUUACCCACUCUCAGAACGAGGAGGUAGUGACGAAAAAUAACGAGGUGGCUCUCUACGAGGUCCAUCAUCGGAAUGGGUACAAUUUAAAUCCUUUAACGAGGAUCUAUUGGAGGGCAAGUCUGGUGCCAGCAGCCGCGGUAAUUCCAGCUCCAAUAGCGUAUACUAAAGUUGUUGCGGUUAAAAAGCUCGUAGUUGGAUCUGCGUCCGGUGAAAGUGGUCGCCCGAUGGGUUGUUACUGCUUCUCCCGGACUAACCAUUCGGUUUUCCCUUGAUGCUCUUAACUGAGUGUCCUGGGUGACCGGAACGUUUAUUUUGAAAAAAUUAGAGUGCUCAAAGCAGGCGAUUCGCCCGAAUAUUCGUGCAUGGAAUAAUAAAAGAGGUCCUUGUAACCUUUUAUUGGUUAUCGUUAUGAGGAAAUGAUCGACGGGGACAGACGGGGGCAUUUGUAUUGCGACGUUAGAGGUGAAAUUCUUGGAUCGUCGCAAGACAAACUACUGCGAAAGCAUUUGCCAAGAAUGUUUUCAUCAAUCAAGAACGAAAGUCUGAGGUUCGACAGCGAUCAGAUACCGCUUUAGUUCAGACCGUAAACGAUGCCAUCUGGCGAUCCACCGGCGUUAUGUAUGACUCGGUGGGCAGCCACCGGUAAACCUUUAAGUCAGGUUCCGGGGGAAGUAUGGUUGCAAAGCUGAAGCUUAAAGGAAUUGACGGAAGGGCACCACCAGGAGUGGAGCCUGCGGCUUAAUUUGACU
rnacentral:rRNA from 1 species